GUAUUCAGCAAUAGCAAGAAAUCUUCAAUUGCACAGUAUUGUGCAAUAGCAAGAAAUUUUCAAUUGCACAGUAUUGCGCAAUAGCAAGAAAUCUUCAAUUGCACAGUAUUGUGCAAUAGCAAAUAUUUUCAAUUGCACAGUAUUGCGCAAUAGCAAGAAAUAUCUAAUUGCACAAUAUUGUGCAAUAGCAAGAAAUUUUCAAUUGGAGUUAUCUUUCUUUGUCCAGAAC
rnacentral:lncRNA from 1 species